rnacentral:rRNA from 1 species
AUUGAACGCUGGCGGCAGGCCUAACACAUGCAAGUCGAACGGUAGCACAGAGAGCUUGCUCUCGGGUGACGGGUGGCGGACGGGUGAGUAAUGUCUGGGAAACUGCCCGAUGGAGGGGGAUAACUACUGGAAACGGUAGCUAAUACCGCAUAACGUCGCAAGACCAAAGUGGGGGACCUUCGGGCCUCACACCAUCGGAUGUGCCCAGAUGGGAUUAGCUAGUAGGUGGGGUAAUGGCUCACCUAGGCGACGAUCCCUAGCUGGUCUGAGGGGAUGACAAGCCACACUGGAACUGAGACACGGUCCAGACUCCUACGGGAGGCAGCAGUGGGGAAUAUUGCACAAUGGGCGCAAGCCUGAUGCAGCCAUGCCGCGUGUAUGAAGAAGGCCUUCGGGUUGUAAAGUACUUUCAGCGGGGAGGAAGGCGGUGAAGUUAAUAACUUCACCGAUUGACGUUACCCGCAGAAGAAGCACCGGCUAACUCCGUGCCAGCCGCCGCAGUAA